rnacentral:lncRNA from 1 species
UGUGAAUCACUCUCCUCCCUGUUCUUCAAAUAUUUUAAACAUGAUCAUGAAGUAAUCAGAGCCAGUGUUGGGAUUCUGUUCUGUCCCUUUGAGCCAUCCCUUCAGUGGAAUUUCUUUGGAGCUUUUCCUUCUGACACCCAGCCUACUACUGUCCUGGUGGCCCCAGGACCUCCUCAUGCAGUGGGUCUUCUCCGGACUGUGCUCCACACCAACUGACCACCCCAUCCUCUCCUCAGUGUAGCUAGAAUUUGGGCUCUGCUCCUCACUGGGAUGUGACCUGCUCUGGAAUAUGGGAGCAAUAAUAAUUUAUUGUGAGGAUUUAAAAAAUAUAUAAUGCAUUGAAUGUGCUCAAUUCUGGGGAACAUAGUAUGUAUUUAAUAAAUGCCAAAGUGAUCAGUUUUUCUCUUUCCCUUAAUCUGAACCUAUGUUGUCUGUUCUGGUCACAUUUCCUGAAAGACAUUCAUUCAGUUAGACAUUUUUUACUAGCAUAAUUUAAUUAAUUCUUGAUGAUAGAAUUUCAAGUUUAACAGGGUUCUUCUGGAAAUACCAUCAGAAUCUACAGUUGACUCUAAUAGGACUGCAGUGUGUAUAUUGGCCAGUGCAAGUAAUCCUACACUUGUAUUGAUCAGCAGCGAUGGCUCAUAAUCUAUGAAGACAGCAUGUCGCUGAGAUAAUCCUGUGGAGGCCGACUCACGGCUCUGUGGGCUAGAAUGUCACACCAGGCUUUUCCGUGUGAUUCUGUAAGCGAUUCUGGGCUACUCAUUCCCGUUCUCGUGCUUUGUGGUGGCAGUGGGCAACAAGGAACCUGCGCAAUCACCUAGUGAUGAAGUCUCAUUCAUCAUUUUAUUUUCUUAUUGGGAAUAAUUUAGCGGACAUUAAUUGAGUACCUACUGCACCAAGCAUUGUGCUCAGUAGAUAUAAAGAAUAAAACAUUGUUUCUAGCAUUAAGGAGCUUACAGUACAGUAAAUUUGCCACCCAUCUGAACUUAGAAAUCCUGCCACCGAUGGCUGUGUUUGAGAUUUUGAAAAAGAGAAGCUGAAACUGUGGGAGUCAUUAAAACCUGGUUGUUGUAACAAAGCUGGGAAAAGGAUCUCAUACGGCCACUGGGCUGAUCUCCACCGCUUGACAACCUUGUAAAAUAUGAUUGCAUCAUUUCAGGGUGAGGAGUAAUGCGGAUUACUGGCUAAUUUUGGCUCACUGUGCUGUGUUAUCAAGUGCACUUCCUGAGAGUCCUGGAUUUCCUGGUUUAAGUGUGGCUGAUGACGUACUUGUAACCAAGGGACUCGGCCCAGCCCAAGUGCUUCUGACUAAGAGGAGCAUGCCAAGUAAAUAAGCACUUCGCUGUGCCAUGCCUGAGAGAAGGAAUGCAAAGAUUAAUUCACUGGCCCUAAUAUCUUUAAUCCAAUGAUUCACAAACAAACACCACCAUUUGGAUUCCAGUAACUGUAAUAGUAUAACAGUCGCUGACUUUUAUUAGUGUGUAAUUAACCCUGUAGUGUGUCAAGAUGACAGCUGUAAUUUUCUGUUCACUCAGAGAUAUCCAUAGACCUCAGUAUUCUAACUAGUCAUGCGAUAUCCUUUCAGUACUUUGAUGGUUAAUGUCAACAUUUGUGAACAUGUUGACAGCUAACAGUGAGAGGUCUAUUUAUUACAUUUCACAAAGUAUGCAUAUGUUUAAUCUUCAACUGGUUUUGAGUUCAGAGGCAAAGCUGGAGUGUGGGAUUUGGAGAUGGGAAUGGAGGGGUGAGGGGAGAGGUGGGUAGUCUACCAAGCCAGUACUCCCAGAUUCAAGACCCUUUCAGCUGGCCUGCAUGGCUGUCCUUCCAAAGAUGAUUUGAAUUGACACACCAUGCUUCUUUAGCUGAGGCCUGACCCAGUUACCUCUCUCCAUUGCAGCUCCUUGCUAUUCCAGGGCUGUCAGUUCCUGAGCUCUCCAGAGCAUUGUUGCUGCUGCAACUUCAUCACUGUCAUGGAACUGCCAUGCCCACACUGAUGCCAGCUCCAAGCCACUGCUAGAAUAUGGAAUGCUAU